rnacentral:rRNA from 1 species
UACGAAGGGGGCUAGCGUUGCUCGGAAUCACUGGGCGUAAAGCGCACGUAGGCGGGUCGUUAAGUCAGGGGUGAAAUCCUGGAGCUCAACUCCAGAACUGCCCUUGAUACUGGCGAUCUCGAGUUCGGGAGAGGUGAGUGGAACUGCGAGUGUAGAGGUGAAAUUCGUAGAUAUUCGCAAGAACACCAGUGGCGAAGGCGGCUCACUGGCCCGAUACUGACGCUGAGGCACGAAGGUCAGGGGAGCAAACGGG